rnacentral:antisense_RNA from 15 species
CUUCAGCGAGCCGAGCCACAGCGGGUGGUCGCCGGAACGGUUCCGUCCGGAGGCGGCGAGCAGCGCCCCGGCCUC